UUUUGUAUCUCCUGCCUUGCUGCAUUCCUGAGCCUGGAAUGGGGUUUGCCCUCUGUGUGGCAGGGGGGUUAUAUUGUAUCUGGGCAUAGCGAUAUGGUCAGAGAGAAAUAAGAGAUGCCUGAAGGGAAGCAAGAAUGGAAAACAUCCUUAAAAUGACUGAUUUACAAUUGCUGCUGGUGUGAUGGCUUGGAGGACAGCAUGGCAUAUGAGCAGCUAUGUGAUAGGCAGAGGCUCCAGCUUAUAGUCCAAAGCCAGGAAAGAAGCAGCACUUGGCACCUGAGCUCAUGGGAGGGACAUGUCUGCUUCAGAGAUUGCUCCAUACAACACCCUCCACAACAAACAGUAUGCUGCAACCUACCCUUCUGCAAUACACCUGAGAAAGAAAAUGGUAAUGGAGGCCCAAAAACAUAAAUUGAGAGAAAGUAAAGGGCCCCUGUGAUUCAAACCAGACAGACUGGUUCAGAAAGCAGGAAACCUUUUAGCAUAAAAUUGUACGCAAGUGCUAGUGAAUACAUGAAAGCCAAAGCAUAUUUUAUGUGACUGUAAAAAGCAAACA